rnacentral:tRNA from 1 species
GGGCGCGUAACUCAGUGGGAGAGUGCUACCUUCACACGGUAGAAGCCGUGGGUUCGAAACCCUCCGCGCCCACCA